GACGAAGGGGGCUAGCGUUGUUCGGAAUUACUGGGCGUAAAGCGCGUGUAGGCGGUUGCCCAAGCCGGGUGUGAAAGCCUUGAGCUCAACUCAAGAAAUGCACUCGGUACUGGGUGACUAGAGGACCGGAGAGGAUAGUGGAAUUCCCAGUGUAGUGGUGAAAUACGUAGAGAUUGGGAAGAACACCAGUGGCGAAGGCGGCUAUCUGGACGGUUUCUGACGCUAAGACGCGAAAGCGUGGGGAGCAAACAGG
rnacentral:rRNA from 1 species